UAGGGAAUCUUCCGCAAUGGACGCAAGUCUGACGGAGCAACGCCGCGUGAGUGAAGAAGGAUUUCGGUUCGUAAAACUCUGUUGUUAGAGAAGAACAGCGCAUAGAGUAACUGUUAUGCGUGUGACGGUAUCUAACCAGAAAGCCACGGCUAACUACGUGCCAGCAGCCGCGGUAAUACGUAGGUGGCAAGCGUUGUCCGGAUUUAUUGGGCGUAAAGCGAGCGCAGGCGGUCAAUUAAGUCUGAUGUGAAAGCCCCCGGCUCAACCGGGGAGGGUCAUUGGAAACGGGUUGACUUGAGUGCAGAAGAGGAGAGUGGAAUUCCAUGUGUAGCGGUGAAAUGCGUAGAUAUAUGGAGGAACACCGGUGGCGAAAGCGGCUCUCUGGUCUGUAACUGACGCUGAGGCUCGAAAGCGUGGGGAGCGAACAGG
rnacentral:rRNA from 1 species